UUUUUUUUUUAAAGUAGCUGCUGAACACAGGAGAAUCUGCCUUUUUCUUGAAUCGUGGUUUUUUUGUUUUUUUUUUUUUCAAGACGGAGUGUUGCUGUUGUCGCCCGGGCUGGAGUGCUGUGGUGCGAUCUUGGCUAAUUGCAACCUCCGCCUCCCAGAUUCAAGCGAUUGUCCUGCCUCAGCCUCCCGAGUAGCUGAGAUUACAGGCACGCACCACCGUGCCUGGCUAAUUUUUGUGUUUUUAGUAGAAACAGGAUUUCACCAUGUUGGCCAGGCUGGUCUCAAACUCCUGACCUUGUGAUCCACCUGCCUCGGCCUCCCAAAGUGCUGGGUUUACAGGCGUGAACCACUGCACCCGGCCUGAAUCAUGGUUUUUUGAAACCAUUGGCAUCUGAACCUGUAGCUCUCUCUGGUAGUGUUGUGUGGUUUUAAAUGUCAUGUGAGCUGAGUUACUGACCUCAACCUACUGCCAGAUGAAGGUGUGAUCCUGUGAUACCAAUCUUGAGGGUCCCUUCUAGUUUUAGCAGUCAGUGACUUCUCUUGUUUAUUUUUGUUUGAAAAAGUAAAAGGCUCUCUUUUUGGCUAUAGAGUUGCAUCUUGAAAUUUUUGACAAAUUACAUAGAGCUGAAGAAGGAUACAAGUUUUGAUAUCUUAAAAUCACAGGGUUGAAGCUUGAAAGGACAGUAUUGGCAUUGCAGCUAAGUGGGAGUGUGAGGAAGCGCCUUCUCUAGGGCAGGUAAUUGCAUCUGUUAAUGUGGUCCUUGGGCCCCUGAGUUGCUGCCUUCCAAUCAGAAUUCCCUUAGCAUUAGCCAGUGACGCCUGAAUUAAUCUCAGGUAGGACUUCUAACUUUUUUCCAAAAUUAUUUUUGUGCAGAGGUUUAUCUAGAUUUUUCUUCUAAAUGUCCUCCUCCCCACUUGUUUUAUUAUUACUGUUUUUUUCUCUCUUUAAUUUUUUUUUUUUUUUAAUAGAGACAUGGUCUCACUAUGUUGCCUGGGCUGAUCUCAGACUCCUGGGCUCAAGUGAUCCUCCUGCCUCAGCUUCCCAAAGUGCUGGGAUUAUAGGCGUGAGCCAUUGCGCCUGGCUCUGUUACUGUUUUUCUAACCUGAGUUACUUAGGAUCAUAUUUUCAUUCUUUUUUAAAAAGAUGGGAGUUUUCUGAACUUUUCCUUAACUAAAAAGUGGAAUGCAUCUUAAUAUUUUCCUUUUUUUACUUGUGUUUCUCCCCAGGGAGGGAAAAACAUAUUUAUUGUGACAGAAUUUAGCAUAUUUUAGGCCACAUUAAAAUACUGAUAAAUGUAUUAAUCAGUGAAAAUAGGUUAUAGUGAAAAAUAUAUACCAUUUGAUUAAUAAAAAUGUUAUUGGAAAAAUGCAAGAACUGCUGUAAGAAUUGCUAACAUUGUGUUGGAAAAUAAAUAUACUAAGCUAAGAAACAAUGGGAAACUGUCAUAUGUAGGGCCAACAGCCUUUUUUUUUUUAAACCCUUCCAAUUUAUUAAUAUCUAGUCUAAUAAACCCUGAUUUAUAGGACCUCUGCACCUUUUUUGACUUUUUAUUCAUCCAUUCUUAAUAUUCUACACUAUGACAAAAUCCUUAAAACUCCAUUAUUGAUGAAAUGGGAACAGACUUUUGUUUUUGUAUGUUGGUGUUCUCUGAGUGGUGAAGGCCCAGGGAGAAUGUUUUGUUUGGUGGUCACUUAGCAUUUGAAAACAUCCACUUCCUUGUGACUUAGCUGGGUAUCUUUUAACAUCUGGAAGCCACGUCCCUGAUUGAAAUCUCUGGAGACAACUUACCUUUCACCAACUUGUCUGCCAAAUUGCACCAUGGACCAAGAUUGCAGUGGCUGCAUCAAGUCUAGGCCUGCCCUGAAGUCUGGAUUUGUAAGUCCCCCAUUUCAAAUGGGGCAGAAGGCAGAGGAGCAGAGGAGCCACUGUGCCUUUCGCUGUCCUGGAGCCAGUUGGCCUUCUGGUUUUGGUGAACCCUGCUUUUAUAAGAGGACUCCCUGGCAUCUUCCAGUUUCCCGCUACUUGUUUUAUGUAUUAUUUUAUGUCUGUGUUUGUCCUGGAGUGCUGUAACUCCUUUCACUGUCUGCUGUAAGUUCAACUUCUUCAAUAAAAGAAAUGUUUCAAAUUGGA
rnacentral:lncRNA from 10 species